GGGGAUUUAGCUCAGCGGCAUAAGCGCCUGCCUUGCAAGCAGGCAGUCGUGAGUGCGAUCCCCG
rnacentral:tRNA from 1 species